GUUCAUCAAAAAUAUCCCACCAAACCAAACACGCUGAUGGAUCGUCGCCACCACCGCCCCGCCGGCGGGCACCACCACCACCCAGCCCCUCCAGUCCACCACCACCACCCACCACCCCCACCUGUAGUACACCACCACCCACCGCACCACCACCACCCGACUCCCGUAGUUGUGUUUCCGUCGCCACCUGCUCCCGUGGUGGUGGUAGACCACCACCACCACUCUCCGCCGCCAGUCGACAUCUUCAGCAGACCCUCCGUCAAGAUGUACUGCAAGGCCGAUCCUACCUACUCUCUCUCCAUAAGCCACGGCACGGUCAU
rnacentral:lncRNA from 1 species